rnacentral:RNase_P_RNA from 1 species
GGAGUCGGCCAGGCAAUCGCUGUGAUUGGAAUUUUCCAGUUGUGGAGGAAAGUCCGGGCUCCACAGGGCAGAGUGCCAGGUAACGCCUGGGGGGCGAGAGCCUACGGAAGAAAGUGCAGCAGAAAAUAUACCGCCUAAGUCUCUUUGAGACCGGUAAGGUUGAAAUGGUGCGGUAAGAGCGCACCGCGUCGGUGGCAACAUUCGACGGCUUGGUAAACCCCACUCGGAGCAAGACCAAAUAGGGGAACAAUGGUGUGGCCCGCACUGUUCCCGGGUAGGUUGCUUGAGGUGUGCGGUGACGCAUAUCCCAGAUGAAUGAUUGCCCACGACAGAACCCGGCUUAUCGGCCGACUCCUCUU